rnacentral:rRNA from 1 species
UUUUGUUAAGACUAGCCAUGCACGUCUAAGUACAAACUAAAUGAUGGUGAAACUGCAAAUGGCUCAUUACAACGGUUAUGAUGUACCCGGGAGUUCCGAUGGAUAUUUCCAGUAACACUAGAACUAAUACAUGUCCCUGCGUUUAUUAGUUUCGCACAGUCCGUCGCUGAGUCAUGGUAAACAGUUGAUCGACUCGACGUCCCGGAACAGUUUCCGCCCCAUCAGCUUCGAUGGUUGGGUAUUGGCCUACCAUUGCAACAACGGGUAACGAGGAAUUAGGGUUUGAUUUCGGAGAGGGAGCCUGAGAAACGGCUACCACAUCUACGGAUGGCAGCAGGCGCGCAAAUUACCCAAUGCAGACACUGUGAGGUAGUGACGAGAAAUAAUAAAGCGGGACUUCUGUUUCGCUAUUAUAAUGAGGAAUAACCAAAGGUCAUUCCGAUUAGCAACUGAUGGGAAAGUCUGGUGCCAGCAGCCGCGGUAAUACCAGCGUCAGUAGC